rnacentral:rRNA from 1 species
GAUGAACGCUGACAGAAUGCUUAACACAUGCAAGUCAACUUGAACUUCGGUUUGGGUGGCGGACGGGUGAGUAACGCGUAAAGAACUUGCCUCACAGCUAGGGACAACAUUUGGAAACGAAUGCUAAUACCUGAUAUUAUGAUUAUAUGGCAUCGUAUAAUUAUGAAAGCUAUAUGCGCUGUGAGAGAGCUUUGCGUCCCAUUAGCUAGUUGGAGAGGUGACAGCUCACCAAGGCGAUGAUGGGUAGCCGGCCUGAGAGGGUGAUCGGCCACAAGGGGACUGAGACACGGCCCUUACUCCUACGGGAGGCAGCAGUGGGGAAUAUUGGACAAUGGACCGAGAGUCUGAUCCAGCAAUUCUGUGUGCACGAUGAAGUUUUUCGGAAUGUAAAGUGCUUUCAGUUGGGAAGAAAAAAAUGACGGUACCAACAGAAGAAGUGACGGCUAAAUACGUG